rnacentral:sRNA from 12 species
AUCGAAGGUGAUAGUAGCGAUAUCAUCAUAAAAGCCGCCAUUGGCGUCAUGGAAUGUAGCCGGAGUACAGGAUGACCGACCCGUAAGUCCAUGAAUAAGUCCCGAGA